UAAUCAUUUUAGUUCUGUGUACUCAAAAUAUUCUGAUUUUUAUGAAGGAGUUCCUGCACUAUGUCAUUGCGACCGUCCUGAUAUUGGUUGCGUCGAUUAUUGGAGCAUCCAAGGCAUUUGGCUAUGCUGGAUUAGCAGCUGGAGUGUUCUUCGGCUUCGCAUCAACAAUUCUAUACGGCGUUGGGGCCUGGCAGUCCUACAAGAUGUGGCGUGUUCCUCAACCAUCAACUGUUACUGUAUAACUGAUCAGUGUCAGAAAUUGGCAGCAGUUUCAUCGGAUUCAUAUAUCCAGAGACUCAGUUGUGUUCACCCUUGAGAUCUGAAGAUUCAAUUUAUAUUAACUGUGCUUGAUAAUAUUGUCAUUCGACUUAAGAAGUUAAUUAUUUUUAUAUUUUAUAAAUUAGCUAAUGUAAAAUUGUACCAAAGACAAGAUGAACAAAAUAUUUUAUAUAAAAGCUUAAAAAAUACAUGACUUCAUUCUGGUUCACUAGUGUUAUACCAUGGUACUGAGGCAGAGUCCAAAACCAAAGCGCUCAAUAUCCCUUUCAUGAGAUGUCACAGAUGCGUCCUGACCUGCUAAGUUCUUCCAGCAGGUUGUUUGUUGCUCCAGAUCCCAGCAUCUGUAGUCACUUGAGUCUCCAACGCUACCUUCAAAUCUUCUCCCUUCCCCCUCUACUCUGAGCCUCUCUUCUCCCACCACAUUUACCUCCCUCCCUAAGGUAAUAUCAACCACCUUGACUUGUCCAUUCUCUCAUCCACUCGAACCUUAACCCCUCCAAACACGCAACUCUCUACACGCUUGGCACCAAUCCCAAACGCACAAGCGAGCACAGUGCCAUUGAGGGCUGGUGGAGUGUCCUCUACGGUGUAGAAGCUGGAUGGCAACACUCGGACACCUCUCCCAGGAACAUGUCCCCACGAACACCAUGGUUUCCCAUACCAUCACAGAUCUUCCCUCUACUGUUUUCAACCUAAUAGUGCCCCAUUCCUACCUAUCUCCUUCAUUCGUGAUGCAGUGAUGAAUUUAGACUCUACAGACGCUGCUUGACUUCCUGAGUCCCUCCAUCAUUUUGCUUUUGCUCCAGAUCCCAGCAGUUGCUUGUGUCCAUUACCACAUAGCAUUUUUGUUGCAAGUGCAAUUUGUUCAUUAAAUAUGUAAAAGUUAACCAACCUUUAUAAUGCUUUAGUGUUCACACCUUUAAAAUUACCAAUAAAAAUCCUCCGUGGUUUGAAAGUACCAUUUUAUUUUUGACAUGCUGACAUAAGGUUUUGAUAUUUUGUGCCAGACAGGAAACCUGCCUGACUGACUUUAGUUUCAAUAUAUGUUCUUGUGCUUGAUGACAUAUUGUAUGGAAAGAUGCCUUGUAAAUAAAAUAAACUGUUUUUUCUGUAUCCU